AAAACGAAAAAAAAAUCAGUAAGAGGUAUAUCACAAUUAUGCAAACUGAGAGGGAAAAAGCGACGCAACGGAGACAGAACGCUUCCCUUCCUGUCAUACGCAGUAGAGUGAUGCUUUGCUAGAAAAGUCUCCUGGUCGGGGCUGAGGUGAACAGAGCAGAGGGGCGCUUUGCUUUCCCUCUUCGGUGCGUUUUACCUCUUGAGGCACCGUAACUUUUAAGUCCUCCAAGUUGUGGUCGGCGCCAUCAUGACGCCAGGGACUGUGAGGUGGUGUUGUUUCUUUUCUUUCCAAUCUCGCCGGGGCGGCCGCGCUACAGUUGACAAGCGGCCAACUAGUUCACUCUUUACCUCUUUUCGGAUAUAGAUGAUUAGUGAUUUCUCCAAAUUAUCUUGUGACCUGGGACACUAUUAUCACACUCAAUUUUAAGAAGAGAUUAAAGGGACUACAUACAGUGGCCAAGUCAAGAGGAUUUAAGGCAAAACAGGUACAAUGUAUGAAAAAACAUAAUUUAAAACCCACCAGGAACAUUCACUGAGGAUUUAUGUGCCAAAUGUGAGCACAGGCUCUGGACGCACAGGCUCAGCGGCCAUGGCUCAUGGGCCUAGCCACUCUGCGGCAUGUGGGAUCUUCCCGGACCGGGGCACGAACCUGUGUCCCCUGCAUCGGCAGGCGGACUCUCAACCACUGCGCCACCAGGGAAGCCCGUUAUAAUUAUUUAACAUAUCUCCUAUUAUUGGAACAUUUAGGAUGUUUAAUUGUUUGCCAUUUUAAAACAACCAAUGAGAAAAUAGUGCUAAAUCUUUACACAGAAAUAAAUUAAAAUGUAUUCUUAAAAUGCAUUACUAGAAUUAGAGUCUCUGGGUCCAGUGGCACAAACCUGAAAAAGUUUUGGAUAAUUGGAAAAUUAUUCUCAAAAAAUUUGUUUUUAUUUAUUUUCCUAUAACCAGAGAAUUGUGGGUUAUCUGUAUUUUUUCUGAUUUAAUAAUCAAUGAAUAGUCUUAAUUUUAAAUUAUUAUUUCUUUGAUUACUAAUUCUGCUGAAAUUUAUUCAUAAGUUCAUUGGUGAUUCAUAUUUUGGGAAAUGCAUAUAUAUAUAUACAUUCAUAUGCAAAUAUGCAUAGAUAUACAUAUAUAGAUCAUUCUAAAGUUUUCUGUUUCACUCUUUUUAAUGAAUUCUUAGAAUCAUUAAAAGUAUAAAUCUUGUUUUUUAGUAAACUUCUUGUUAGAACAAUUUUAGAUUUACAGAAAAAUUGAGAAGAUAUAGUUUUCUUAUAUUAACACCUUACAUUAGUAGGAUACAUUUGUUACAAUUAAUGAGCCACUGUUGACAGAUUAUCAUUAGUUAAAGUCCAGGUUUCCUUGGUUUUUACCUAACAUCCUUUUUCUGCUACAGGAUCCCAUUUAGGAUACCACAUUACCUUUAGUUGUCACGUCUCCUAAGCUUCCUCUUUGCUGUGACAAUUUCUCAGAUUUUCAUUGUUUUUGAUUACCUGGCCGGCUUUAAUGAGUAGUGAUUGGGUAUCUUGUAGAAUGUUCUUCCAUUGGUAUUUGUCUGAUGUCUUUUUUUAUGGUUAGACUACAGUUAUAGGUUUUUAAUAAAAAGACUUCAGAGGCAAAGUGCCAUUUUCAUCACACCAUGUCAAGGAUACAUAUUAUCAAAACGAUUUAUCACUGUUGAUGUUGACCUUGGUUAUCUGGCAUAAGUGAUGUUUGUCAGAUUUCUCCACUAUAAAGAUUCUCUUUUUAUUUAUUUAUUUUUUACUUUGUAUAGUUCACAUGGAAAGAAUGAGAAAUUAUGCUCCUUUCAUUGAGGGUAGAAUAUCUACAUAAAACAUUUCUAAUUCUUCUACAUGGGAGAUUUGAUUCAUCUCACUUAUUUAUUUACUUACUUAUUCAAUCAUCAAUAUAUAUAUUAUUAUGGGCACAUAGAUAUGUAUUUUAUACUUUAGAUUAUUACUUUAUUUAUUGCUCAAAUUAUUUGAGCUUUGGCCAUUGGAAGCUCUUUUAGUGGAUCCUUUGACUUACUUCUGUCAAUCAAGGUGUUUUGUUUUUGUGUUUUCUGAUUUUUUUUUUUUUAUAUUUUGGCAGUAUUAGAGGUUCCAGACCUCUAGGUUCAUCUUGUAUAUUUCCUGCAUCAAUACAAGAGGCAGGAGUCCUCCAUAGAAACUCUUUUUUGGUUUGUUUAGUUGGGUUUUGUUUUUUGGUUUUUGUUUUUUCUUUUAUCGUUGAAGAAUGGUAUGAGAAACCAAGAUAUGGGUACUAGGUAUCCUCAUUCCUACCAGGGUUUUGUUUCUAGGGCCAAUCAGCUGAUGGAGCAAAUAAAUGUAUGUGUCUAUGAUAGUUUAUUUACCAUAUGUAUAAAUAUUUCUAACAGUAUAUAUAUACAUAUAUAUAUUUUAACUAAACAUGAGUUCCUACUGAUAUCUCCAACUCUAAUUCAUUAACAUAUGGAUCAUUUUAACCUUUCCCUCUUAAUUAUCUAGUAAUUCUCACUCCAAAUAGUGAGAAACCUAACUCCUACUGUCUGCCAUUCAGUUACUCUGUUCAAUCUCUGUAUAUAUGUAUAAAAAUAUCAGAAUUGUUAGUCCAUUCAUCCAUGGGAAACUGCUUUAUUAACUAGAAUGCAGGGCUUAUGUGCACUUCUCUUGACUUUAGUUUUAUAAUUCCAUUCAUUUCCAAAGUUACUUAGGGCAACACUUUUUCCUCCUACCCUCUUCAGUGAGGUUGUUUCAUACCUUUGAAAUAGCAAAUUAUUUUGUUUUUUGUCUUUUUCCAUCCUGGGAUCCCUGGACUUCUUAAAUGAGGUUUUUAAAAUUUGCAUACAUUAACUUUCACAUUUUGUGCUAUAAAGUUCUAUAGGUUUUGGCCAAUGUGUAAUAUCAUAUAUCCACCAUUGCAUUAUCAUACAAAAUAGUUUUACUGUCCCCAAAAUUCCUUUGUAUUUCAACUAUUUAAUCCACUUCCAAACCUCUGGCAAUCAUUGAUCUGUUUACUGUCUCUAUGUUUUCCAAUUUCCAAAAUGUUAUGUAACUGGAAUCAUAUAGUAUGGAGCUUACUCACAUUGGUUCUUUCAUGUAGCAAUGUACUUUGAGGGUUCAUAUGUCUUAUUGUGGCUAAAUAGCUCAUUUCUUUAUAUGGAUGCACCAUAGUUUGUUUAUCCAUUCACCUAUUAAAGGACAUCUUAGUUGUUUCUAAGUGAUUUUGAAUAAAACUGUUAUAAACAUUUGUGUGCAGGUUUUUAUGUGGACAUAAAGUUUCAAUUCAUUGGGAUGAAUACCUAGGAGCAUGAUUGCUGGUUUUUAGUGUAAGACUAUGUGCAGAUUUAUGAGAAACUGCUGAACUGUCUUCUGAAGUUGGUGUACCAUUUUGCAUUUCCACCAGCAACAAAUUAGAGUUAUUUUGGUUCUGCAUCCUUGCCAGCAUACAGUAUUAUUAAGGUUUUGGGGUUUUAGCCAUCUAAUAGGUAUGAAGUGCUAUCUCGUUGCUAUUUAAAUUUCCAAUUCCCUAAUUACAAAUGGUGUUGAGCAUAUUUUCAUGUCUUUAUUUGUUAUGUGUUUAUCCUCUUUGGUGGGCUGUCUGUUCAGACCAUUUUGCCCAUUUUGAUUUGGUUUGUUUGUUUUAUUACUGUUGAGUGUUAAGUGAUUUUUGUUUUAUUUGGAUACAACACCUUUAUCAUGCAUGUGUUUCACAAAUAUCUUCUCUCAUUUUAUGGCUUGUAUUUUCAUUCUUUUUACAGUGUAUUUUUCAGAACAGAAAAUGGAUCAUCUUUUGGUUUUGUAUCUGAAAACUCAUCACCAAACCCAUGGCCACCUAGAUUUUCUAUGUUCUCUAUUAGAAUUUUUAUAUUUUUCCAUUUUCCAUUUAGGCCUAUGAUCCAUUUUGAAUUCAUUUUUAUGACAGAUAUAAGGUUUCUUUCUUCCUUCCUUCCUUCCUUCCUUUCUUCCUUCCUUCCUUCCUUCCUUCUUUAUAUACAUAUGAGGUCUGAUUGUUCAGCAACAUUUAUGGAAAAGAUUUUCUUUCUUCAUUGAAUUGUCUUUGCCCAGUUGUCAAAGAUCGGUUGACUGUAUUUGUGUGGGUUUAUUUCUGGGAUCUCUGUUCUCUUUCAUUUAUCUAUGUGUCCUUUUUUUUCACCAGUACCACCUUAUCUUGUUAACUGCAGCUUUAUAGUAAGUCAUGAAGUCAGGCAGUGCGAGUCCUCCAGCUUUGUUCUAUUUCUUCAGUAUUGUGUUGACUUUUCUGUGUCUUUAUUUCCCAUAUAAACUUGAAAAUAAGUUUGGAAAUAUGUAUAAAAUAGCUUGCUGAGAUUUGAUUGCAAUCUCAUUGAAUAUAUAGGUUAAUUUUGAUAGAGCUGUCAUCUUAACAAUAAUGCCUCCUCCAGUCCAUGAAUACUGAGUAUAAAAAUAAUGCCUUUGUCUGUCUUUGGUUCAUGCAGUGAUGUAUUACUAGUAAUUUAUGUUAUAGUUUAUAUUUAUAUGGGUUGAUUUUGGAACUGUUAAUAUGUAAAUUUAUGAAGGGUUUUUUUGGUAUAUGAGUUAAUGAAGCAAUUAAUCCUUUUGUUUUUGCUUCAUACUCUGAUCUGUAAAUUCCUAUUUAUCAAGUGCUAAUUUUUAUACCCCAGAGGUGUCUGUGUCUUCCUUUUUAACAUUGUUUUAAUACUAUGGUUUUUAUAAUGUUUUUUAUAGUUAUGCCUUUGUUAAACUUUCUGAUGGUUAGUGGGGCUGAUACUCCAUUGUUACUCUUUCAUAUCUAAAACAUACUUGCCUAAUUUUACGAAGUCCUGUUAGAGUGUUAGAAUCCUAAGGUGUUAUUUUUUAUGAG